rnacentral:rRNA from 1 species
UACGGUGGGUGCAAGCGUUAUCCGGAUUCACUGGGUUUAAAGGGUGCGUAGGCGGACUGGUAAGUCCGUGGUGAAAUCCCCGAGCUUAACUUGGUAACUGCCAUGGAUACUAUUAGUCUUGAAUGUCGUGGAGGGUUGCUGAAUAUGUCAUGUAGCGGUGAAAUGCUUAGAUAUGACAUAGAACACCAAUUGCGAAGGCAGCAGGCUACACGAUUAUUGACGCUGAGGUACGACAGCGUGGGGAUCAAACAGC